rnacentral:rRNA from 1 species
UAAGACGAACCGUGCGAACGUUAUUCGGAAUCACUGGGCUUAAAGCGCGUGUAGGCGGGGCGGUGCGUCGGCCGUUGAAAUCCCCCGGCUCAACCGGGGAAGUGGCGCCGAUACGACCGCCCUGGAGCGACGUAGGGGGAACUGGAACUUCCGGUGGAGCGGUGAAAUGCGUUGAGAUCGGAAGGAACGCCCGUGGCG